rnacentral:rRNA from 1 species
GAUGAACGCUGACAGAAUGCUUAACACAUGCAAGUCGAUUCGAUUUACCUUCGGGUAUUGAGGAUGGCGGACGGGUGAGUAACGCGUAAGGAACUUGCCUCUUGGUCUGGGACAACUGUUGGAAACGACAGCUAAUACCGGAUAUUAUGAGAUUCUCGCAUGGGAAACUUAUGAAAGCUAUAUGCGCCAAGAGAGAGCCUUGCGUUCCAUUAGCUAGUUGGUGGGGUAACGGCCCACCAAGGCGACGAUGGAUAGCCGGCCUGAGAGGGUGAACGGCCACAAGGGGACUGAGACACGGCCCUUACUCCUACGGGAGGCAGCAGUGGGGAAUAUUGGACAAUGGGCCACAAGCCUGAUCCAGCAAUUCUGUGUGCACGAUGAAGGUCUUCGGAUUGUAAAGUGCUUUCAGUUGGGAAGAAGAAAGUGACGGUACCAACAGAAGAAGCGACGGCUAAAUACGUGCCAGCAGCCGCAGUAAUAC